AGUCACCAGAUUGAGAGCCACUACUUUAUGGGUACAAAGAUGAAAACAAUGAAUUUGCUUCCUCCCAUGAGUUCACAGGGAGAGAGGCAGAUGUGUAAAUAACUCGGGCUCCAGUGCUAGGUGCUAUAGAAGAUCUGAGAAGGAUGUGUGAUCCUGACUGAACCAUCCUGUCUUCACCCAGAGUACUAAUCUGGGUAUGUAUACCUGGAGGCAGAUGAGAGAGAUGAAGAUUGCAGAUGUAACUCAAAGGAAUACAAUGAGCAAUUCUAUAUAAUAAAAGCCUAAUAUGCUAAA